UACGUAGGGUGCAAGCGUUGUCCGGAAUUAUUGGGCGUAAAGAGCUCGUAGGCGGUUUGUUGCGUCGGCUGUGAAAUCCCGAGGCUCAACCUCGGGUCUGCAGUCGAUACGAGCAAACUAGAGUGUUGCAGGGGAGACUGGAAUUCCUGGUGUAGCGGUGAAAUGCGCAGAUAUCAGGAGGAACACCGGUGGCGAAGGCGGUUCUCUGGGCCUGUACUGACGCUGAGGUGCGAAAGCGUGGGGAGCAAACAGG
rnacentral:rRNA from 1 species